rnacentral:misc_RNA from 1 species
ACGGAGGAAGGGGAUUACCAGGUAAAACUACGCAACCUGGUACGUUUCCUUAGUGAGGGGGACAGGGCCAAGGUUUCAUUACGAUUCCGUGGUCGUGAGAUGGCGCAUCAGGAGUUGGGCAUGGAGUUGUUGAAGCGAGUUGAAGGUGACUUGCUUGAAUACGGCACCGUUGAACAGCACCCGAAGAUGGAAGGACGCCAGCUUAUUAUGGUCAUCGCCCCCAAAAAGAAGAAGUAAUCAACAGGGCACGGCAGGCCUUGCGAUUAUAUUUAUUAACUGAAUGCGGAGUAUCCGAACAUGCCAA